ensembl:lncRNA
GUACUUUGGGUGCUACAAUGGGCACCAAAAAAAACAUCUAUAACCUAUUUGGGAAUUUAUCUAACAUGGCAGACCACAAGUUUCUGUCAGGUGGAAAAAGCUCCCGAGAUCCAAGUCCCAGGCCAAAAACAAAGUCCUCGUCAGAGAGAGACAGGGACCCCACGCAGGAAAAUUGGAAUAAAGAUCAAGAGAAAGCACAGCACAAAGAUGUGGACACGUUUCCACUCAAAAAGGGAGGGAAAGAGCAGAAGGUAGAAGGUGGCAAAAGUAGGAACGGCAGACUCGUUUCAAAUAUCGAGAGGGGAGAUGAUCAUAGAGAAAAAGAGAUUUUUUUGGAGCGUGGUACGUUUCCCAGAAUGAGUAAAAAUUCCUUUGAUCCUAGAUUGAGAAUGACAUCUUCUUCUGAGAUGCAGGAGAAAAGAGAACGAAGACCCAACGACUAUCCUAAAAGAGAGGAGAUAGAAGACAACAGAGAUAAAAGAAAUCAUGAGACCGGGCCCAGAAGCAGGGAAGUGGGUAAAAACAUGGAGAGAUGGUCUUUAGAAGAUGAAAGGCUGUACCAGAGAGAGAAAUACAGAUCUAGUGGUGGAGACCUAGACAGAGCAGGAGAUGCAGGUGACUUUAGGGAAAUUAGAGAAAAAGACGCACCAAGGAAAAGAGAAAAAGCAAGAUCAGACAUGGACAGGAUGGAUCCCAGAAUGUAUAACACAGAUAGAGUAUAUGAGAGGGACAGUCAUUCUGACAGAAGAGAAAAGCCUCAAAGGAGGGAAGAAACAAAGGAUUCAAGGGGAGACAGAAACAUUGAUGAAAGACAACCGAGGCAUGAAAGAUAUAGAGAGGAUGGAGAUGGACAGAGGUACAGAAAUAAGGACACAGGGAAAGAAGAGGAUAGAACCAAGAAGAGCAGAGCUCAUAAAAACAGGAAGAUGGAAAGAUCAGCAGAUAAAGUAGAAGAAAGAUAUAGGGAAACUGAUAGAGGUCUACGAGAUGAAAUGAGAAAUGAUGAUCGUCAUAGAGAGGAAAGAAGAACCAGGGAAAGAAAGAACGGACAGGAAGGUAUGCCAGGCAAAAGGUCUGAAUGCCACUCACCUGGUGGUGGUAGAGAUAAGAGGAGGGAUACAGAAGAGGAGAGAAUGCAUAAACGACGUGGAGACAGCGAUGAGGAGAGGAAAACAAGUAGACACAGGACUGGUGAGCAGGAAAGAGGAGAAGAUAAAUGCAGGGAUCCAGAUAGAACUGAGAGAAGUCAGAGGUCUCAAAACAGAACUGAUAGAGAUGAUGGCAGAGGAACGAGAGGCAAUGCUCUUGAGCUAGGAAGGAUGUGGUUAGACCCACAGAGGGGCAAGAAUAGUAAAGAAAGUAGAGACAGAGAGAGACGCACAAGACAGAAGGAAGAGUGGAGUGAAGAGGAGACGUUGCAGGCAGUGAAAGGAAGAGACGAGCGACGGGAUAGUGGGGAACCAGAUGAGAGGUACUCCAAAACACUGGCGGGGAGAAAUGAAUUUAACAGGGGAGAACCAGAGGGAGCAUGUGUAGAUAGAGACGAGGAGAGCAAAGGCAUGAGAGGUCAGAGACGAGGGAGAGAAGACAGCUGGCAAAAAAAUGGACAGACAGAGUACACUGCAGUUAACUCAGAGGAAAGUGACAGGGAGGAAGGGGGAAAGAGGGAUUACUCUCCACACUCUAGGAACAAAGAAGGAAAUGAGGUCAGAUGGAAGGAAGAACGAGACAGAAUAUCAUCAGCAGAGGAUGGUUUUAUGACAUUAUCCAGCAGUGGAGAUGAGAUAGAGAAAGAGUUCAGAGGAUGUGGAGACGCUCACAAGGAACCCACAUCUUAUGACUCAAUGGAAUUUGAAAGUCAUGAGGAAAGGGAAGAAGAUGAGGUGAAACAAAGACGGAAAAAGAAAGGAAAUUGUUUCUUUCGUGGGAUUAGGCCAUCAGGACAAAACAGCGAGGUGUCACAGGAUGAUCAAAGAGGAGGAGCUGAUGGACAAAAUCCAAAUUUAGAAAGUCAUUGUGGUCUCAACGAUGAUGAAGCAAAUUUCCAGGAAAACAUAUUUAUUACAAAAGAGAGAUGUGAUGACAAGCAAGAAAUCAGUAACCAGUAUAUUAAAGGUGACUCUAUCCCAAUAAGGGAAGAAACGUUUACUUCAGAGGAAACAGAGGAACUGGAAAUCCAGGAUUCAUUUUCAAAACCUCAAGAAGCGGCUAAAAACAGAAUGAGGAGCAAAGGGGGACGUGUAGAAAUGAGAAAAGUUAAAAGAGACUCAAAAACUGAAAAACUCCUUAAAGCAUGGAAGGAGAAAAACAAUGAACUUGCAGGCGAAGAAAGAGGGCAACCUCCUUCUGUCCUACGUAAUCCUGGCGAUGGUUCCCAGGAGACUUUUGAACAAACUCGGCGCUUUUUGGAUCAAAUAAACAUUGAAGCAAUGAGUGAAGAACAGGUGGAGGCCAUUCGGGUUAGAAUGAGCGGAGCAUGGAGCACCGACGACCCCAAGAGGUAUUCCCAUCCACCUCACUUGAAAUGGGCUACAAGCGUGGUACGAGAAAUACUAGGGACGUCGGAGGAAAACGCAAUGGAGGAACCAACUUCAGAGACGCAAAAAGAUCAAAGUGUGACCACCGAGCUACAGGAUGAGGCUCCAGAGAGAGCUACGGAGGUGCCCGCUUUCAAAAUUUGGACUAGUACCCAGUGUUCAGAUGCAGAAGGGGAGGACUACAGCCCACCAGAGGAUUUUGGAGGUAUGGGACAAAUGCACAUGCUUUCUGACCAGCUCACAGCUGGGCCUGUUGCAACACCCACAUCCAUUCAUGCUGACACACUGAUAAACACAGGAGGAGGGGACGAUCACUUACCGGAUACAACGUCUGAGCUUUGUGGUCAAACACACUUAGAAAGGAAACGCUUGAAAAAAGUUGGGAGAGAGAACGAAAUGGACAUGUAUCUAGAUGAGAGCUAUAUGCUCUACAAACCCUAUAGCUGCCCGUCUCUAAAUUACAGUUCUGAUUUUGACCUUCUUAUUAGCACCUCUAGAGAGUAUGAGGGGUCAGAGGAUGAUUUGGGACAAGAGAAGGGUUUUGUUGUCGAGUCGGAUGAGAUUAAAGUGGAUAUUGAGCAGGAAGAAGUGUCAUCUGAGAAUGAGGGCACUUGCGGCAGUCAGAGUUUGGGUUUCAAAGCUGAUUUUCGAAGGAGGGGGAUCCGAGUAACAACUGAAAGAAGAAGUGGAACGCUUUUGCAAAUGGAGGGUGUUGCAGGGGACCACAGAACCAAAGUAUUUUCUCCAAAAGAUGAUGCAGAUGUUGCAAGCAGAAGCAUGGGAGACAUGGAGUUGAGGGCGAAUCUUCAUCCAUAUCCAAGAAAAAAAAGGAAUUCAAAAUAUUUCAAAGCUGCACAGCUCUACCAGCAGUACAGUGAGGCUGCGCAGAACAUUGAAAUCCUGCGGCAGGGUAGCGCGGACGCGCUCUCCGGAUGCGAGGGCCCUCCGUCGUCUCCUGUUCCGUCACCCCCGCCAUCCCGGAGACCUCUUCCCUCCCUGCCCCCAGUCCUGCACCCCCAUUCCUUGUCCCACCAGUCCCACUUGUCCCACUCCUUCAAUAGCUUUAACAGCCUUCCUCUCCCGGAGUCUCACAGUAACAAGCGCCGGCCUUCCUCUCCACGUCUGUCCAUUUCACAACCUGGAACGCUGUGGCGGGAUCUUCCGGGUGUCAGGAACAGCUACGAGCUAGAGGAACUCACAGAAAACCAGUGGCGUCUGCAGGAGGUGCGCUUCGAAGUUGUAACAUCAGAGGCCUCCUAUUGUCGGAGUUUAGACAUUGUUGCUGAGCACUUUGUCAAGUGCAAGCCGCUGCAGGACCUGUUGGGCAAUCAGGAUCGAAACUGGCUUUUUUCUAGACUGUUAGAAGUCCGUGCUAUAAGCCACAGGUUCUUAGAAAAGCUGGAGGAACGCGUGGACUCGGACAUCAUGCACUUCACUGUUUGUGAUAUUAUUGCUCACCAUUGUAAGCGCUUCAGAUCAGUUUACGUUCCCUACCUCACCAACCAGUCAUACCAGGACAGUACCUACCAGAGGCUCAUGACUGAGAAUCCAACAUUCAAGCAGCUUGUGGAGAGUAUUGAAAAGAAUUCUGUUUGUCAGAGACUCCCUCUUCGUUCUUUUCUCGUGCUUCCUUUCCAAAGGAUUACAAGAAUUAAACUGUUGGUGCAGAACAUUGUGAAAAGAACAACCCCUGGCACCGCAGAGGCAAAGACAGCUAUCAGAGCGAUGAAACUUCUGGAGACGGUAGGGACCUCCAUUUUCUGCUUUAACAAGGCAAACACUCUUCCUCUGAUCAGUCAGUCUCGGAGGUGGGUGCGAGAAGGUCCUGUGAUCGAGUUGAUUGAUUUGGCUUGCAAAGACCCGGAACGCAACCUUUACUUGCAUCUCUUCAACGACUACUUGCUGCUGUCACUACAAAAAGAAGGAGGGAGGUUUACAGUAAUCAACCAUGCUCCUGUCAAUGAAGUGCAAGUAGAAAACUGCCGGAUCAAACUUCACUCCCUCCAGAAGAACCUGUUCCGGUUGCAAAUGUCAACCAAAUUCUACUUGCUAAAGACUGACACACAGAGUGAUAAGCUUCGCUGGAUCUCUGCGCUCUCCAGGCCUCAUCCUCAGUUGGAUUUUUCUGCUGCUCAAGGUAAAAAUUUGAUCUUGUUUAAUAUACUAUAUAUUAGUUUUUCUGAUUGCUUUUAA